GUUGGAAUGCAGAAAAUACCCAUCACAUGUUCUCCCAUCAUUCCAGAGCAAGGACAACUGAAAAGGCUCCCAGAAGCAUAUGCCCCUCCCUUAAAUCAUCUUCUGGGAAAGGAUGAAGAUAAAGUGAGGUAUGAGGCAUAUAUGGUUCUCUGUGGUGCGUCAUUUUAAGAAACUCCAAAGUCUGCUUCUCAGAGUGAAAUACUAUAUUCCACAUAUGACUCAUGGGGUAGAAAUUUACUUGAAUGCAGAAAAUACCCAUCAAAUUUUCUUCCAUUGUACCAGGUAGGUGGGUUCAUCUCAUUCAAGUUCUCUGCAGCAGAGUUUUGGGGUUUAUGAGAGAGGCUGAGAUUAUGUCUUAAACUUAGUUAUAAAGAGGAAACAGACAUCUGAGGGUCCAGACCUCUGGGCCAGGGAUGGCUAAGAAACUGAAGGAAGACAGUGAGUCAUAAUGCUUCUGUACCACCCUCCUAGUGACCAACAGCAAGGUCACUGAGAUCUGGGGAAAGCAACUAGUGAUUUCUAGAAGUAUUUAUAUGUGGUCACUUACUCUACAAGGAUUCAUUGACAACCUACUAAGAGCAGGCAUUGCACCAGGAGCUGAGGGAUUUAGGGGGAAGAAAGCAGUCUCUAUCCUGAAAGAGCUUGAAGCACAGACAACUCUACUUGAGUCAGCUUACUAAGGGAAUUUAUUCAUCUGCUCUGUAGCUCUGUGUAGAAGGGGCAUGUCUGAAAGUUUCAUGAUAAUGGGAAUAGGAGUUGCAAAGUUGAGGAAGAAAAAGAGGAAACAAGGCAAUUCCAAGCUACAAAGUAAAAAUAAAAUCCACCAGGGGUGUUGCAUUCCAUGUGUUACAUAGAUCAUUUCCAGUCUUACAAUAGACAGGCAAGAAGUGGCAUUACAAAGCUCUUUUCCUCAUUUCACAGAUGAGUUACAUGUGGCAGGUGAGGGUAAUUUUUUGUGCAAAGUCACAAAAAAGAAUUGGGAUGGAAUGCCAUGCAGGCUUGAUGUGAAAUUCUUGGUCUUUUAAAUUCCUG
rnacentral:lncRNA from 1 species